AGUGGCGCACGGGUGCGUAACGCGUAACCAACCUACCCGAAUCUGGGGGAUAGCCCGCCGAAAGGCGGAUUAAUACCGCAUAAAACUGCAGUGUGGCAUCGCACAACAGUUAAAGAUUUAUUGGAUUCGGAUGGGGCUGCGUGCCAUUAGCUAGUUGGGGAGGUAACGGCUCACCAAGGCGACGAUGGCUAGGGGAGCUGAGAGGCUGGUCCCCCACACGGGCACUGAGAUACGGGCCCGACUCCUACGGGAGGCAGCAGUAGGGAAUAUUGGGCAAUGGCCGAGAGGCUGACCCAGCCAUGCCGCGUGCAGGAUGAAGGCUUUCUGAGUCGUAAACUGCUUUUGCCAGGGAAGAAAAAAGGGGAUGCGUCCUCUACUGACGGUACCUGGUGAAUAAGCACCGGCUAACUCCGUGCCAGCAGCCGCGGUAAU
rnacentral:rRNA from 1 species